GUGUAUCUGUCAUUGCAUCUUCCAUUCCUUUAUUUUUUCAACACACACAGAAGGUUCUACUUCGUUCCAUUUGACUCUUCCUCCUUCCACAUCUCUUUCUUUCUUUAUUCCAAAAAUCAAAGACACUCCAUUGAAAAUCUUCCCCCAGUGUUCAAGAUCUGUCUACUUGGAAUUACAUCUCAUUUUAUUAGUGGUUUUCUGCUUCUCUCUGUAUAAAUGCAAGGGCUGUAUUGUGGUUUCCAAUUCUUUGAUUGUCGCUGAUACUCUAGGAAUUGAUGUUCACGGGUUGCAACUCAAUCUGAAGAAAGAUUUGAACUUGUUAUUCUCCAAAAAGUAGAUGCAUGUGGUUUGCUCCAAAUUGAUUUGGGCGUGUGAAUCGAACUUCAGGACAGUAGAAAGGUGCUUAACUUGAAGGAAGUGAAUGUAAUGAGAGCCUAUGGAACUGCUAAAGACAAGUUUCAGCAUCUUUAAGAUCGUCAUCAAAUGAGGGUGAAGAAAUUUGUAAAGCGGUUCUAAUAUCUUUGACAACUUGGGAAAAAAGGCUUAUGAGUUAUGACAACAAAGCUUUAUGGAGUGGUCAAAUUUCAAAAGGCACGGUGCUUCUUUUUUCCAUAAUGUAAACAGGUUUCCUCAUUGAAAAUGAAGAAUGUACGAUUUCACAAUAUUGUAUACUUUUGUUGCUUAGUGCACAUAAAUAUUAUGAAGUAUUAAAACCUGAAACAUGGAAUUUCGGACACAC